AGUGGCGCACGGGUGCGUAACGCGUAUGCAACCUACCUUUAACAGGGGAAUAGCCCCGAGAAAUCGGGAUUAAUACUCCGUAACAUUGCGGUGUGGCAUCACACUGCAAUUAAAGAUUUAUCGGUUAAAGAUGGGCAUGCGUGACAUUAGCUAGUUGGUGAGGUAACGGCUCACCAAGGCAACGAUGUCUAGGGGUCCUGAGAGGGUUAUCCCCCACACUGGUACUGAGACACGGACCAGACUCCUACGGGAGGCAGCAGUAAGGAAUAUUGGUCAAUGGGCGCAAGCCUGAACCAGCCGUGCCGCGUGCAGGAAGACGGCCCUAUGGGUUGUAAACUGCUUUUAUCAGGGAAUAAACCCCCGCUCGUGAGCGGGGCUGAAGGUACCUGAAGAAUAAGCAUCGGCUAACUCCGUGCCAGCAGCCGCGGUAAUACGGAGGAUGCAAGCGUUAUCCGGAUUCAUUGGGUUUAAAGGGUGCGCAGGCGGAUUGGUAGGUCAGGGGUGAAAUCCCACAGCUCAACUGUGGAACUGCCUUUGAUACUGUCAGUCUAGAGUAUAGUUGAAGUUGGCGGAAUGUGUCAUGUAGCGGUGAAAUGCUUAGAUAUGACACAGAACACCGAUCGCGAAGGCAGCUAGCUAAGCUACAACUGACGCUCAUGCACGAAAGCGUGGGGAUCAAACAGGAUUAGAUACCCUGGUAGUCCACGCUGUAAACAAAUGAUUACUCGAUGUUGG
rnacentral:rRNA from 1 species